GACGAACGCUGUUUGCGUGCUUAACACAUGCAAGUCGAACGGAAAGGCCCUGCUUUUGUGGGGUGCUCGAGUGGCGAACGGGUGAGUAACACGUGAGUAACCUGCCCUUGACUUUGGGAUAACUUCAGGAAACUGGGGCUAAUACCGGAUAGGAGCUCCUGCUGCAUGGUGGGGGUUGGAAAGUUUCGGCGGUUGGGGAUGGACUCGCGGCUUAUCAGCUUGUUGGUGGGGUAGUGGCUUACCAAGGCUUUGACGGGUAGCCGGCCUGAGAGGGUGACCGGCCACAUUGGGACUGAGAUACGGCCCAGACUCCUACGGGAGGCAGCAGUGGGGAAUAUUGCACAAUGGGCGGAAGCCUGAUGCAGCAACGCCGCGUGCGGGAUGACGGCCUUCGGGUUGUAAACCGCUUUCGCCUGUGACGAAGCGUGAGUGACGGUAAUGGGUAAAGAAGCACCGGCUAACUACGUGCCAGCAGCCGCGGUGAUACGUAGGGUGCGAGCGUUGUCCGGAUUUAUUGGGCGUAAAGGGCUCGUAGGUGGUUGAUCGCGUCGGAAGUGUAAUCUUGGGGCUUAACCCUGAGCGUGCUUUCGAUACGGGUUGACUUGAGGAAGGUAGGGGAGAAUGGAGUUCCUGGUGGAGCGGUGGAAUGCGCAGAUAUCAGGAGGAACACCAGUGGCGAAGGCGGUUCUCUGGGCCUUUCCUGACGCUGAGGAGCGAAAGCGUGGGGAGCGAACAGGCUUAGAUACCCUGGUAGUCCACGCUGUAAACGGUGGGUACUAGGUGUGGGGUCCAUUCCACGGGUUCCGUGCCGUAGCUAACGCUUUAAGUACCCCGCCUGGGGAGUACGGCCGCAAGGCUAAAACUCAAAGGAAUUGACGGGGCCCCGCACAAGCGGCGGAGCAUGCGGAUUAAUUCGAUGCAACGCGUAGAACCUUACCUGGGUUUGACAUGGAUCGGGAGUGCUCAGAGAUGGGUGUGCCUCUUUUGGGGUCGGUUCACAGGUGGUGCAUGGCUGUCGUCAGCUCGUGUCGUGAGAUGUUGGGUUAAGUCCCGCAACGAGCGCAACCCUUGUUCACUGUUGCCAGCACGUUAUGGUGGGGACUCAGUGGAGACCGCCGGGGUCAACUCGGAGGAAGGUGGGGAUGACGUCAAGUCAUCAUGCCCCUUAUGUCCAGGGCUUCACGCAUGCUACAAUGGCUGGUACAGAGAGUGGCGAGCCUGUGAGGGUGAGCGAAUCUCGGAAAGCCGGUCUCAGUUCGGAUUGGGGUCCGCAACUCGACCUCAUGAAGUCGGAGUCGCUAGUAAUCGCAGAUCAGCAACGCUGCGGUGAAUACGUUCCCGGGGCU
rnacentral:rRNA from 1 species